rnacentral:rRNA from 1 species
CCUACGGGGGGCAGCAGUGAGGAAUAUUGGUCAAUGGACGAGAGUCUGAACCAGCCAAGUCGCGUGCAGGAUGACUGCCCUAUGGGUUGUAAACUUCUUUUAUAAAGGGAUAAAACGAGGCACGUGUGCCUUUUUGCAUGUACUUUAUGAAUAAGGAUCGGCUAACUCCGUGCCAGCAGCCGCGGUAAUACGGAGGAUCCGAGCGUUAUCCGGAUUUAUUGGGUUUAAAGGGCGCGUAGAUGGGUUGUUAAGUCAGUUGUGAAAGUUUGAGGCUCAACCUUAAAAUUGCAAUUGAUACUGGUCGUCUUGAGGACAGUUGAGGUAGGCGGAAUUCGUGGUGUAGCGGUGAAAUGCUUAGAUAUCACGAAGAACCCCGAUUGCGAAGGCAGCUUACUAAACUGUGACUGACAUUGAGGCUCGAAAGUGUGGGUAGCAAACAGGAUUAGAUACCCGUGUAGUC